UACGUAGGGUGCGAGCGUUGUCCGGAUUUAUUGGGCGUAAAGAGCUCGUAGGCGGUGUGUCGCGUCGGCCGUGAAAACCUGCAGCUUAACUGUGGGCUUGCGGUCGAUACGGGCAUCACUGGAGUUCGGCAGGGGAGACUGGAAUUCCUGGUGUAGCGGUGAAAUGCGCAGAUAUCAGGAGGAACACCGGUGGCGAAGGCGGGUCUCUGGGCCGAUACUGACGCUGAGGAGCGAAAGCGUGGGGAGCGAACAGG
rnacentral:rRNA from 1 species